rnacentral:rRNA from 1 species
GAUGAACGCUGGCGGCGUGCCUAAUACAUGCAAGUCGAGCGAACAGACGAGGAGCUUGCUCCUUCGACGUUAGCGGCGGACGGGUGUGUAACACGUAGGUAACCUACCUAUAAGACUGGGAUAACUUCGGGAAACCGGAGCUAAUACCGGAUAAUAUUUCGAACCGCAUGGUUCGAUAGUGAAAGAUGGCUUUGCUAUCACUUAUAGAUGGACCUGCGCCGUAUUAGCUAGUUGGUAAGGUAACGGCUUACCAAGGCAACGAUACGUAGCCGACCUGAGAGGGUGAUCGGCCACACUGGAACUGAGACACGGUCCAGACUCCUACGGGAGGCAGCAGUAGGGAAUCUUCCGCAAUGGGCGAAAGCCUGACGGAGCAACGCCGCGUGAGUGAUGAAGGUCUUCGGAUCGUAAAACUCUGUUAUUAGGGAAGAACAAACGUGUAAGUAACUGUGCACGUCUUGACGGUACCUAAUCAGAAAGCCACGGCUAACUACGUG